rnacentral:lncRNA from 1 species
AUAUUAAUUCUCUCCCAUUCCACUGUUCUUCACAAAGUAGGAACAUCUAAGAAUCUUCCCCAGGAUAGCUUCUUCUUGGGAUUCUGAAAGAGACAACUCCCCUCAAUUUACAUUCUGGAACUCCAUAUCACAGUUGGUAGACUGUGCUGGGCUUAGCCCGUUGUUUUGCGAAUGGAGUAGUGAUCUUUUCAAUACAUCCCAGAUCCCAGCUUUUGAUUUUUUGGAGGAGUGUCUUGAUUGUUUUUAGUUUUACUGGAGAUUCUUGUGAUGGGAAGAACUACGAACUUAUUGAGUCCUGUUGGUAUCUCCGACUUUACUAUAAACUCCAAUUCAUCCUUUAGGGCUUUCCUAGCAAUUUUCAUUGGAUCAAGUUUCUCUGACUCAUUCAAAACAUGAGGAAACUCUGGAAAAAUGGACUCGACAUUCAUAAUUUGCGGGUCCCUCAAAGAGUUUUGGUUACAGAAUUACAUAUAAUUGUUUCUAGAAAAUAUUUUGGAAUAACGUUAAGUGACGCUAAAUCAUGCCACGAAAGGAUAUUUUCACUUGCACCUGUAUUCGGGAGUGCUCUCAUAUAUUGUAAGACGGGGAGUGGAGUGCUUAAUGGAUGAUGUACUAUUAACAAUGCUUGAGGCUGUUUCUACAGGGCUAGAAUUUCUCGUUGUCCUUGAGUGAGAUUUGGAUUCUGAAUCAUAAUUCUGAUCAUCUACAAAAAAAAAAAACAUGACUUGUUCUCACACAUUUUGUUACAUGUGCUGUUUCGGAAUCUACACUCGGAGCGGUGGUGGUUGUCUCUUCUGCAACUGAAACAUCUACCAUGCUGACAAGGCAUUAAUAUUAAUGUAAACCAAUGUAUCUUGGAGAACGUCUGCAGACUCCCAUGCAGUGGCUACAUUUACAAGUCAUAGCUAAUGAGUUCUCAUACUAUCGGGAGGAGCACAAGCUCCAAUCACGCAACAUGUUGUGUUUUUUCAGGUUGGAUCCUGCCUUCCUAAUCUGCAGCUAUUUUAAAAUUUGUAUUUUCCAAUCAUAGACAAAUAUACAUAUCAUCUGUGCUUCAAACCUA